CUGGCGGCGUGCCUAACACAUGCAAGUCGAACGAGAAAGUGGAGCAAUCCAUGAGUAAAGUGGCGACCGGGUGAGUAACACGUGACUAACCUACCUCCGAGUGGGGAAUAACUCCGGGAAACCGGGGCUAAUACCGCAUAACAUCGCAAGAUCAAAGCAGCAAUGCGCUUGGAGAGGGGGUCGCGGCUGAUUAGCUAGUUGGCGGGGUAACGGCCCACCAAGGCGAAGAUCGGUAUCCGGCCUGAGAGGGCGCACGGACACGCUGGAACUGAAACACGGUCCAGACUCCUACGGGAGGCAGCAGUGGGGAAUUUUGCGCAAUGGGGGAAACCCUGACGCAGCAACGCCGCGUGGAGGAUGAAGCCCUUUGGGGCGUAAACUCCUUUCGACUCGGACGAUUAUGACGGUACGAGUGGAAGAAGCACCGGCUAACUCUGUGCCAGCAGCCGCGGUAAUACAGAGGGUGCGAGCGUUGUUCGGAAUUAUUGGGCGUAAAGGGCGCGUANGCGGUGCGGUAAGUCACCUGUGAAAUCUCCCGGCUUAACUGGGAGCCUGCAGGCGAAACUACCGUGCUGGAGUGUGGGAAAGGUGCGU
rnacentral:rRNA from 1 species